UUAAUGUUGUAUGUUUGUUUGUCCGCAGCAUGUCUGAAGGAGACGUGUCACUAAUUCGUGACGAGGACCUUCUGCGCCGUAUGUGGCAGCAGACCGAGGAUUUUUCCCGCAAGAAAGAAAUCCGCGCCCACAUGUACCGCCUGCGUGAGGAACGCUUGCGCAACCUUUAUUCGCCGGACUACGCCUCCGACGGAAAAGGUUGUGAGUUCACGUCGCCGCAGGGCCACGUGCAGUCGUUCGCCGACCAGAGCUUCCAGUCCAUGAAGAGCAAGGAAGUGCGCGACGCGGGCUCCCCUCCCAAGGAGUUCUCGUACCGCGGCCAAGACCUGAAGGAGCUCUCGAACGCCGGCUGGAACGUGGAGUCGGAGAACAGAACGACGGACGACGGCCACACCCACGUCAAGUCCGUGCACGCCAACAUCGAGGGCCGAUACGACGUCGAAGGCGGCAAAGGUCAGUUCGCAGCCGUUGACCAUCACAAGCAGGCGGUCACCGAGUACCAGGACGAGAACAGCAGUCUGAAGCGCAACGAGAGCUCGUCCAACACGGCGGCGCACGAGCAGGUGGUGCGCCGCACCGAUGACGGGACACACUUCUCGUCCACUACCAGCUCCAGUUCCAGCUCCAAGUACCAGCAAGUAUCGACCAAAAACGAAACAGUGCCAUAUUCAAACGACUACAACCAACGAACCCUUGACUCUAACCGCAAUGAACAACUAACGAGGAGGACUCACGAGAAUACCGUGGGGAACAACUACGACAACGGAGAACUGGUGUCCAGGAAAGUGGAAUACCCCGAUGAUAACACCCGGGUCAUAGUCGAGACGAGAUGUCUGCCCGACGGAACUCGCGUCACCAGCACUCGCCGGGAGUUCCGUGCGCCUGUACAAAGCACCCGCUCCGAGCAGCGCUCUCAGACGAAGACCGAGAGCAAGUACAGCUCUCUGCACAAGUCCGAUCAGACGUCCACGUCCAACGUCUCGCGAUACACUGACAACCGAGUUAACGACAUCGUCGACUCGCAAAGAAAUGUUGACGACCAAGACUUUAAAAGACAAAUUCUAAAAUAUACUGAUAAUGAUGACUAUUCUGAGACGCAAAGCGUUAAGAGUUACGAAACAAACGUCAAACGUGUUGUGGAUUCCAAAAUUGAUGACAAUUAUUCGCAAACCUCGCGAUAUGAAACUAAAAUUAAUAAGAAAUAUAUUGAUAACGUUGACGAUUAUUCGCAGACUGACAGGUAUGAUAAAGUUGACAGAAAAGUGGUUAAUAACCAACGCGACGAUGUGGAUUACACACAAUCUCGACAUGAGAUCAACAAGGAGCAUUUGAAGACCGACGAUUCCCAAACAACUCGGUACGUGACCAAAAUUAACAAGGUUACUGACUACACCACUGAGGACGACAGGCGUACUGUUCAGCAUUUUGAAAACGUGGACAACGUGGACCGACGCAACAUCACCAUACGGCGCGAGGUAACCGAGCCCCGUGAUCAAAAAGAUACUCAUCCCAGAGGCACAUAUCCGCAAGACUCGACGCCUGACCGUCGUGAUUCGACUGUGCCGCGCGAUCAAAAUGAAUAUCCGAAGGAUGUUUAUUCGAGAGACUCAUACCCGAAAGAUACAAAGCCUGACUCUCGCGACACCACAGUCCCUCGUGAUCAUAAAGACAACUAUCCGAAAGAUUCUUACCCAAGAGACGGUUAUCCUAAGGACAUACAUCCGCAAGACACAACAACGCCGCGCGAUCACAAAGACACGUACCCGAAAGAUGUAUACCCUAAAGACACUUAUCCCAAGAACAUGUAUCCGCAAGACUCUAAACCUGAUCGGGAUACUGUAGAGCGUGUGCAUACUAUCACAAGAGACAAUAAGGAAGAAGUUGUAACUAAAAAAACUUCUACAGAUCAGUACCAGACUACCUACGUCACAGACUAUACUCAGAAGAAGAUUAGUACUGACUGGAGCCCUACCCAUACUGCUUGGGCGAGCACACUGCGUUCCGAUACGCCGACUACAACUCGGCCGUCGACACGAGCCUCAUCCCCAGGCAGCAGAACUUUCAAGUCCAGUACUUCUUCGCUUAGAAGCAGCGUGAGUCCUGAUAAAAAGAAACCGUCUAGCCGUGGGGGUAGCCCUAACAAGGUUGAUCGCUAUUCUCCUUCCCGUACUGUGUCAGAUAAAUACACCACUCAUUCUUCUCAUCAUGUGACCGAAACUAAAACUACUAAGCAUACGGGCUCUGAUGGUCGCCCCCCCACCGGUCGCUCUCCGACUCGGCCCGGCUAUAGCCCUGAUAGGAAACCUCACGGUUACCCCAGAACAGGAGCCAGUCCUGAAAAGAAGCCAGAUCAGCCUCACAAAACCAGUACCAGCCCGGAUAGAAAACCAACAUCUCGGGCACCUGUCGGUCACCCUGGCACACCCACUCGCCCUGGAGACUUCGGGUCGCCAAAGUCACCUCGCCAAAGUCCAGAAAGAAAAGCAACAUCCCGCACACCUAGCGAUCGACCUGCCUCUCCAACGCGACCGCGGGAAUUUGGUACUCCAAAGUCGCCCCGUCAAAGUCCUGAGAGAAAACCGACCUACCGUCCUUCUGGUGACAGACCAGGUGAUUCCAGCCAUCCGCGCUUCUCGUCACCGCAGCGGACUAGUCCUGACAGAAAGCCUGACAACAAGCCAAGGGAUUCUCCACGAUCAAGCCCAAGCCCAGAUCGUAAACCAGGAUACCAAACGCCUUCUGAUCGUCGCCCAGCUCCUGGUGAUGUUCCGAGAACCACGUCUCCUUCUAGACCGUAUUCACCUUCGGACGCACAUAAGAGACCUAGGACUAGUCCUGAACGCAAACCAGGAUAUCAAACACCUGCUGACCAACGUGCAGCUCCUGGUGAUGUUCCGAGAACUACGUCUCCUUCUAGACCGUAUUCACCUUCGGACGCACAUAAGAGACCUAGGACUAGUCCUGAACGUAAGCCAACGCAACCAGAUAGCAUCGACAAAUCUUCACGUCCAAAAGGCGUGAGCCCAGACAGAAAACCAGGAUAUAUGCAACCUACUGCUACCACCAAGCCAACACCAGAUAAUCUAAAGAGUCCAACGAAGCCCUCUGUCAGCCCCGACCAUAAAUCUCCUACAAAACAAAUACCUGAAGAUCGUAGUCCAGACAAGACCAAAAGUAGCAUAGUAAAGGAGGUCCAUGAACGAUUUGUGGAUGAAGAGACUAAGAUCUAUACUCAAAUUGAUAAAACAAACAGUAACCAAACAACUGUCAUUGACUCAUUACAACCACGUGAGCAGAGCCCUUUGCCAGUUGGCAUGGGUCCUGGUAAAGAUACUCCGGACUUUAGCGAUUCUCUUCAUCGUGACGCUCCAAAGUAUAAAGAACCUACAGACUCUAUACCGUCUGAUAAAAUACCCCAACGAUUGGAAAGAACCGACGUGACCACGGAGUAUGAUAAGAUUACAACUAUAAAAACAACAAAGACUAAGGAUUCUCCGAAACCAACCGGCAGACAACCUUCUCCCACUAAAGACACGAAACGACCCGACGAUGUAAAGGAUAAAAUACCGAAAGAUAAAGAGGCGCCUAAGUCUGAUAGAGAACCCUCACCUGAUAAAUAUGGCACAUAUGAGAAGAAAAAGCCGACUAAAUUUCCAAAGGAUCAAGAUGUUCCAUCUGAAACUCCAAGAGAACCGUCUCCUAGCAAAUUUGGCACCUAUGACAAAAAUCAACCACGGGAUGAUGAUUCUGCUCCUAAAAAACCCCAGGAUGCCCCUGUACGCGAACCUUCUCCCACUAAAUAUGGAACUUAUGAUAAGAAGCGGCCAACUGCGGAAACUCCUAAAGAUUCCUCAAAACCUCAAGACAAAAAAACAACCGUGGAAAAAAUAACAACUACUGUUAAGGAAGAUAAAGAAACCAGAUAUGAUUCUUUAACCCGUCGUGAAAAGAUCACUAAGAAGCCUGAACACCCUGGUUCUCCUACCAAAAAGAGCCCGAGAGACAGCGUGUCUCCAGCCAAGUCACCAAUAAAAGAUACUAAAUACAAACAUACAACAGAUUUCCUAACUACUGAAAGAACCACGGAGGAAAUCCAUAAAAAACAGACUACUAAAGAUCGCCCCAGGCAACUUAUCACCCCAUCUUCUAGCCCAACUCGUAAACCUAAGCCUGAUACCGCUCCGUCAACGGGGCAGAGUUCUCCUACGACUUCUGUUAGUGGUUUUGUUUACUUUGGUUCCCCAAGACAAGAGCAACCUGUAACAGACUUGGAUGACCAGGAGCCUUAUCCCGAUACUCACGACAAAACAAUCCCAGCCUAUGAUAAACCUGACAAUCAGGUCAUAGAUCGUACUCCAUCACCUUCCAAAAUACCGUGCCGAUCACCAUCUCCUGAUAAACGUACUUCUCCUUACAAGGACAAUUUUCCACUCAAAAGUUCUUUGAAAAAGCCAACGGACUCUCAGACUUCACCGUCUGAAAAACCUCCAUCAAGUUUCCGUGUGUCACCAGAGAAUCAAGACUAUCCACCUCAUGAUAUCGUUAAGAAAGAUCGUCCAGAGCCUGAAGGUCAUGAUUCACCCAAAAGCAAACCGCCCCUGGAAAGACGUGAGACGUACGAGGACCGAUGCAGAAAGAUUCUUGGUAUGAUUGACACUACAGAGACCACCACGAGGGUGACUACUGAGAAAGUAACAAGGAGUUCUCCUGAUGAUUCUCCAAGUCAUAGCCCAGUUCCAAAGGACGUAUCUCCUUUCAAAGACUAUCCGUCUAAAAAGGACACUAAAACCAAUGUCCUCGAUUUUAUAUCUCGAGAAAAGGAUGAGCUCGUGAAAACUACGCGUGAUGAUUAUGCUCCUGAUGGAAAACCUAAAACGCCUAGAGACACUUCUCCUACAAAACUUCAAGACAUCACUACUACAACAAAAAAGACUCGUGAAGAUACUGAAAAGGAAACCAUCACAACGGUGAAAACUAAGUACACGAGAGAAAGUCCGGAAAGGAAACCUGGAUAUGUACCUGGUGGUAAACAAUCAGAGCCUAUUAAAGAUCAGCCUACAUACGGCUCUCCCAAAACACCUAAAGGUAUUCAGCCUGAUUCCACUACUGACGCAGUGAAGUAUCGGCCAACUGAUUCGCCUAGAAGCAGCUUGAGCCCUGAACGUAAAUCAGGCCAAACGCCAACAAAGAGAGCACCAGAAAAACCAGAUGACAAGUAUCCCAAAGAAUCUUCUAAGACACGACAAGACGCCAGCCCUGACCGUAAACCUAGCCAUACCAAAUCUACGGAUAUCAGCACUAAAUACGAUACAGUAUCUACUGAAGGUGUACAAAAAACUGUAUCUUCAACAAUUAGUGAGAAGAAGUAUCCUUCAAGGCCAUCCGAUUCGCCCUCGCGCAAACCUUCGAAACCUGAUGUCGACAAAGUAAGAGCAACUUCACCCUUCAAAACCCCCAAGGGAUUAGUUCCUGAUAAAAAGUCUCCUGGUAAGAAACCCACCAAAAGUCCCAGCAAGAAACCAGGACACGAAUAUCCUGAUGAUGAGUCUGACACUGCUGAGGAAAUAUCUGACUACGAAUCAACUACCGUUACUGCUCAGUACGAGUCGUUCACAUCCGAGGAAGCAGAUAAAAAAUUCUCCUUAACUACAGUAAGUGAUCGUCCUGCAAAACCAACAUCUCCCACGCACAGGGCUCCGACUACCAAUCAGCCUAGGCCUCGGUCUCCGAAGGAUGAUGACGUGGGCAGAGAACCGGGUUAUGAAGUUCCUUCACCAACUAAGAGUGCGCCGAUAAAGGAACCCUCUUUAAAACAUCCUCAGGAAUCGUCUCCAUCGCCAGAUGUAAAGACUUCUAGCUAUAAAAAAACGAUUACUAAUAUUGAGUCGACCACUAGUGACAUUAACGAAACAUUCACUUCUAAGACAGUGGUUGAAAAACAACCUAAAAAACCAUCAGAUGCUCCAACUCGUGAUACUCCUGAUGAAAAGCCCAGGCCCGACUCAGUAAGUCCUAGGUAUCCUAGAGGAGAAAGCCCAGAAAAACGACAACCGACAUCGCCAAUGAAAGGCGUUCCCGGUGACAAAUAUCCUCGUGAUUCAUCCCCAUCUCAUCCCGAAUACUUAAAAACUACUACUGUAGUUACUUCUACUGAUGAACACCACACCCUCGAGGACAUUGAUGAGAGUGUAAGAAGUAAGAUCUUAGAAGAGCGGCAUCCACGCAAACCGUCAGACUCACCCACUCGCCGUGAACCAGAUGAUAAGCCAAAGACCGACAUACCUACUAGAUCAGGUCACCCCAAAGAAGACAGUCCCGAAAGAAAACCAACUCAGCAUCAGCCGACUAAGGAUGCUCUCAGGAGACUUCCUGGUGAAAGACAUCCCGAAGAUACGACUUCAUCCAGACCUAGUUACUUGAAAACUACUACUGUAAUCAGUUCCACUGAUGAGAUAUACGAUGCAGAACACAUUGAUGAGACUCUUGUAUCGAAGACCGUACAUGAAAGUUACCCUCACAAAUCUUUAGAUUCACCUACUCGACGUGAACCGGGUGAUAAACCGAAGACUGGCAUACCUAGUAGGCCCGGUUAUCCUAAGGAAGAGAGCCCUGAACGGAAACCAAUUCAACAGCCAACUAAAGAUACGCCUAAGAGAAUUCCUGGCGGUAAAUAUCCUGAAGAUAAGUCUCCAUCCAAACCUGGUUAUUUGAAAACUACUUCUGUAGUCAGCUCCACUGACGAGAUAUACGGUACAGAACAUAUUGAUGAGACUCUUGUAUCAGAGACCGUACACGAGAAAUAUCCUCGAAAACCUUCGGGUUCACCAACUCGACGUGGUCCUGAUGACAAACCUGAGAGUUACAUGCCAUCUGGGCCGGGUUAUCAUCAGCCGACUAAAAAGGACACAAAAACCGAUGUCAUUGAUUUCAUAUCUCGUGAGAAAGAGGAACUGGUAAAGACAACCACGCACGACCGUCGCUCUCCUGAUGAAAAACCUAGUUAUCAACAACCUGCCAAGAAAAUUCCUGGAGACAAAUAUCCAGAAGAUUCUCCGUCAAGCCCUGGGUACAUGAAGACAACUACGGUUGUCAGUUCUGCUGAUAUGGAAUAUACUACUGAAGAUAUUGGCGAGACAGUGAUUUCGAAGACUGUGCAUGAGCAAUACCCACGCAAAUCUUCAGAGUCACCAACUCGCCGUGCUCCCGACAACAAGCCCAAAACCGGCACUCCUAAACCUAGUCACCCUAAGGAGGACAGUCCUGAAAGAACGCUAGGUCGACACCCGAUUUCUUCGUCUAAAGAUGCUCCCAAGAAAUCACCUAGAGAUAGAUCUCCUGAAGAUCUAUCUCCUACACGUAUUGGAUUUUCGAAAACCACUACUAUCACUAGUUCUACUGAUGAACAAUUCACUUCCAAAGAUAUUGAUGAAACCAUAAUGACAAGGACCGUUGAAGAAAGAUAUCCACGCAAGCCUUCGGAAUCACCAACCCGACGUAGUCCAGGUGACAAGCCAAGUACUGGUGUUCCGUCUAGGCCUGGUUAUCCUAAGGAAGGUAGUCCUGAAAGAAAACCGCGAUAUCAACAGCCUUCUCCACCAACUAAGGGUGUUCCGCAAAGAGAGCCUGAAGACCAAUAUCCUGAUAAUUCUUCACCCCGACAGGGAUAUUUGAAAACAACCACAGUUGUGAGUUCUACGGAUGUUUCGUAUGGGACGGAAGACGUGGAAGAAACACAUAUUUCAAAGACUAUGCACGAAAAACAUCCUCGGAAGCCUUCGGAGUCACCCAGCCGUCAACCACACGACAAGCCUAGGACUGACACUUCUAGCAGACCUGGAUAUUCGAAGGAAGAAAGUCCGGAAAGAAGACCUGGCUAUCGACAACCAACAUCACCAACUAAGAAAAUUCCUGGUGAACGAUAUCCUGAUGAAUCUUCACCAUCGAGACCAGGUAAAGAACCUGGAUACACAAAAACAACAACCGCUAUAACAACUACAUACGAUAGCUAUGACACAGAGAGCACUGAGGAUACUACGAGAAGAACUUACGAAGAAAGUCAUCCUAGAAAGCAGACAGAAUCGCCUACACAUCGGCCAGUCAAAGAUACACCCAGAAUUCAUUCGACUAAGCCUAUAUUACCUAAAGAUGAAAGUCCUGAAAGGAAACCGGGUUAUCAUCAUCCAUCUUCACUUACCAAGGGUUCCUCGAAAGAGCAACCUUCCAAGAGAUAUCCGGAAGAUUUAACUCCUUCGCAACCUAAAACUCCUGGUUACAUGAAAUCAACCACUUCUGUUACAUCAAAACAUGAUUCUCUUUAUACAACAGAGGAUACUGAAAAGACUCGCAAAUCUAUAACAUUAGAGGAGAAAAUCAAAAAACCAUUAGAUACAACAACUAUACGCGCCCCAGGUUAUAAACCUGAAAGCGAUAUUUCAGACGAAGAAGAAUAUCCAGAAGAAGGAAGACCCGGCCACCCACAAAGAUCACCAAAUUCAGAAGUACCAACGAAAGUACCUGGUGAUCGCCAUGGUAAAGAGACAUCUCCAUCACGUCCUGGACACUUGAAGACGACUACUGUUAUUAGAACGUCUGACACUUUGCAUGGCACGAAAGAUGUGGAAGAGACUUUAAUAUCCAAAACAGUUCAUGAGAAGUAUCCACGUAAACCUUCAGAGUCGCCGACCCGUCAUGCUCCGGAAAGCACACCUAGGGCAGAAUCACCCACGAAACUGCGAAGCCAAAAGGAUGAUAGCUCUGACAGAAAACCAGGAUUCCAGCGUCCAUCAUCUCCAACUAAGGACACUCCGAAACAAUCCCCAGGAGACAAAUAUCCUAAAGAUUCGUCACCUUCGAGGCCUGGUAAGCCUGGUUACACAAGAUACGAUACUUACACUCUAGAAGAUGCUGAAGUUACAUCUCACUUGGUUCAAGAAAAGUAUCCACGCAAACCAGCUGAUUCUCCUACUCGUCGAGCACCAGCAGAUAAACCAAGAGAUACUUCUCCUACUAAGCCCAAACGUACAACUGAUGAGAGUCCUGAAAGGAAACCUGGGCACCAAAGACAAACUUCACCAUCAAAGUUGCCGACAGACGCACAUCCCAAAGAUCCAUCACCAUCGAGGCAACCUAAAACUCCUGGAUACAUGCACACCACUGCUUCUGCGACAACUAAACACGACACUUCAAUAACAACUGAAGAUGUCAAACGAACCUUCACUACUAAAACGGUUAAAGAAAAAUAUCCUUCCAAACCAUCUGAACCAUCACCGUCUAGACCUAGAGAUGGUAGUCAAGAUAAGAGUCCGAAACACCCAGAAAUAGUAUCUUCUAUUAAAGACGCACCCCAGAGAAAACCUGAGGAACUCCGGUCCAGGGAGACCUCACCGACUAAAGGUGACAGAACUCCAGGUUACAUGAAAACCACAACUGCCAAAUCUUCAAAGUAUGAUACUGUGACGACUGAUGUUAGAGAAUCUGUCACUUCCACUGUCGACAAAAAAUAUCCUACCAGACCGCUUGAAUCACCUUCUCGUCAUGUUCCAGAUAAACAUAAGCCUAUGCCAGAGUUUCCUAAAAUAACUUCUCAGGUUAAGCUGGAACAGCCUUCAUCCAAGUCUCCAACUAGAAGCAGUCCUAGUCCAGACAGAAAACCAUUGUCUCGACAGCCAACAGAUACUGGCAGGGACAGUCCCAGGAGACUAGAUGACAGGCGCCCUCAUGAAUCUUCACCUACUAGGUCUGAAAAAUCACCGGGAUAUAUGAAGACUACGACUACAGUGACAUCUAAAUAUGACACUAUUACAAGCGAUAAUGUAGAUACCGUUACUUCAAAAACAACUGAAAAGAAACAUUCAUCUCUGUCUCCAAAUCGACAAAUUCCAGCUCACACAAAGUCUACGCCGGAGCCUCAUAGACCAUCGUCUCCGGCUAAAACACAUUAUAGAGAUGACUCUCCUAGGGACAGUCUAAGCCCAGAAAGAAAACCAGAAAAACAUCCACAAGAACAUACUCCGGGCUAUAUGAGGACUACAACAUCCGUAACUACAAAAUAUGACACUAAAUCUACUGUGGAUACCGAUGAUAUUAGCUCAAUAAAAAUAACAGAAAAGAAACCGCAAAGAUCCGAAUUGCCUUUACAUCAAAUUUUGAAAGAUACACGCCCGCAAUCAGACAUCCCUCGUAAUGUCUCGCCUUCAAAGCCUGACCAUGACAGUCCUCAUAAAAAACCUGGUUACAAACAAACUUAUCCGUCUAGCAAAGAUAGUCCAAAAGACAGACAGCCGAUUACGCAGCCAGAGGGUAAGAAACCCAGUUACAUGAGGCCUACUGCUUCGGUCACAUCCAAGUACGAAACAACCGCUGUGGAGGAUUCAGAGGAAUAUAUUACAACAGAAACGGUGGAGCAGUCAUCGCCACGAUCGGGAUCUCCAUCGCGACGAGUUCCGGAGGAUUACACUAUGCCGGAACAUCUCACAACACCUCAAGAACCCAGGCAAUUGCGCACUCCAUCCCCAAUCAAAAAAUUGACGGAGGUUAGCACAGAUUUCAUAAUAAGUGAAAGAGAGCAAGAAGUGCUAGAAAAAGUACAAAAAUCUCUUCGGAAACUAUCACCAGAGCGCAAAGAAAAGUCACCAGUCCGUGAAAGGAGUCCAAAUAAAACAACUACGAGCUUGCACGAUUUGGACAUAAGACAGACUGUGGAAACCGAAUCUGUUACUAAAGAUGUCACAGAAGGUGUGAAACGAGUUACAAAAGAAACAAUACAAAAACCCAAAGAAGACAAGCCUAAGGACCAGAGAACAAUUACCAAACCAUCAGUUCGAAAUGAGUCUCCGACUAAAAAACCAGGACAAUCGGUUUCACCUAAAGUUGACAAGAGUCCGGAGUCUCCAACCAAGCUCAGGAGUACUUCACCACGGAAACCAUUUGGUGAAAGACCUCAGUCACCACAGAUGUCCAGAACUGGUGUUAUCAGGAAAGAACCGACGCCAUCUCAGUUAAUCAGGAAGCCUACGCCUGUAAGCAUAACUACCAGUAAAGUUGAAAAAGCAAUAACGACGGAUGUCAAGAAACUGACGGGUGUUACUAAACAAACCAUCACCAAAACUACGGUGAAAGCUACAGCGAGUAAAUUCAUGUCAACGUCGAGCAAAACUGAACCUGAAGUGAAACGAGCUCCGACUCCCAAAGGCGUCAAGGAUUCACCCAAGAAGGAUACGGAUACUAAAGUAACACGUACAGUGAGUGAUGUCACUGGGAAAACAAAAAAAACUUCUCCACAGAGAAUUAAAUCAAAACCUGAGAUUCAAGUCAGUGAUAUGUCGAGCGCAAAGUCUCCAAAACCAACCAAACCGACGAAAGAACCGCAGUCUAAAUUCACGGGUAAGCCGAAAUCGGCAACAGCGCUGAACACAUCGGUUGAAGAAGAUGACAUAAUAAUUGACGUCCAACAGUCAAAGUCUUCCCGGGAAAAUUCCCCUGACCGUAUCUGUCCAACGCCGGUUAAUUUUGCAGAUGAUGUUGGCACGCCCAGGUUCCCUGACCAGGUAAGCGAACCGGAUGACGAAUUGCGUAAGCGCACAUACCACACCAUCCAUGAAACUGAGUCCAUUGUCGAUGACAUCGUAGAGAUUUGCGAGGAUGAUGAGUUAUUCGUCAAGAGGACAGAUGUAGAAGACAUCUCUGAACAUGACGAAAGUCUGCUCAGCGUUCACGAUAAAGUCUCUAAGUUCACCAGCAAAAUUCAUACGUCACCUAGACCAAAAGACACUACAACCGCUUUCAAAGACACUGAAAUUAAAGUUCAUUCCGACUAUAUUGAUGAGAAAUUAAAAUCUGACGAAUGUUUAUUAUCAGUGUCGGAAAAGGUAAACAAAUUCGCCAAAGGGCCGCGGGACACGAAAGAUAACAAGAGCCCAUCGCGUAGAAUUGUCGACGAAUACGAUCGCGAUACGAUUUAUCAGGACGACUACACGAAGCUAAGUGUAAACGAUAAGGCGCACCUGUUCGUCGAGUCGGCAGAACACGCGAAGUCGCCUAAAGUAAAGCCAAUACAAAAAGUGGAACGACCUGAUUUGACCGAUGUCGAUGAGUCAUUAAAGAGUGACGACUGUUUGCUCAGCGUGUCUGAUAAAGUGAACAAGUUUGUUAAAACCGCCGAACAGUUCUUAAUUGAAUCACAUGAAGUCGAGGAGAAAGACAAGAAAAUUAAGGAGCAACACGAAAAGAUAAUGAGACAAAUUGUGGACGACUCAGACGACGAGACCACGGAGAGAACUGUACACACGCACAAAAGUGUUACGCAUCACCAUGACCACCACGACAGGCGGUCACCGGAUCGCCGGGAUGACAAACCGUCCUUCGCAAGGGAGACAGAAUCUUCUCAUGCCAAAAUUAAGGAAUUUGAUAGUCCUAAUACGAAGCCAACGGAAAGGACACACCCUGUUAAGAUAACUACAUUACGUAGCAGCGAGGCGGUAAAAAAAGCUAAAGCAUUGUUUGAAAAUAUUGCUUCAACUACGCAGAAAACGAAAGAAACACACACAACAAAAACUGCCAAAUUAACGGAUAUCGGCGUGCAAAGAAAACCUAAGGAAUCAACUACAGUGUCCCAGCGUCAUAUGGAGCGACACCCGAGUCACGUGACCGACACCGAUAGCGAAGUCGAUGCGGCGCCGCAUGUCCCGAGGGAGCGCCCGCCUAGUGGAACUCACGGCAGGGCGCCUGAAGACAAACCGCGUAGUAGCCCCGGCCGUAUCAGGACUAAAUCGCCUGAAGUUCCGAAGUCUAAGUCGCCGAUGCGUCAGACAGUAGAGACGACCACUACAACAAAAACUAUAUUGACGCGGUACCCAGCCGCACCGAGAUCUGAGUCUCCAAAACAGCGGCCUGAAACUGACAAGCCAGGUUACUCACGCCCGACCAAGUCGAGCCAAAGCAAAGAAGAAAAGGUUGUGGAAGAAACUGAGGUGAGCAGCCGACGUGGAAGUGGAAAGUUCGGUGUAGAACUCCGUAGAACGAGUGUGGAGCGAUCAACGGUGAGCAGUGAGCGCCGGCGCAGCGUCGAGCACCCCUGCAUUGAGGACAUCUUCGACCUGGACCUCCUGGAACAAAUGUUGGAAAAGGUCGUGGGCUACGAGCAGAGGCGACGCAUCAGGGCGCAAAUAAGAAUAGCUAAAAAAGGAGAGGAUACUACUGUCACGAAGGUCAUAAAACCUACACUGAGCAUACCAAAGAGUCGGUCUCCCGAACCGCACAAAUCACCCGACCGCACCCCAAAAACAACACAUCACAGACCUACAUCUCCUGACCGCAAAUCUACUCCGCAAAGAUCGGUUACUCAGAGGGAAACGCCAUCUCGUAACGGACAUCCCAAGGAGCCGGUUGAGAAGCACCCGCGUGGACAGAGACCGCAUAGUCCAGAAAAAAUAGCUCCCAAGUCCACUAAAACUGUCCGUCAACCGAGUCCCGAAAAGAAGACGCAUCCGCAGUCUCCAAGCAAAGCCGUUUCGAAGCCCAAAUCCAGCCGCUUCAACGAAUACGCCACGGCUUACAUGAAAAAAGUUGGACUGAACGAAGCCGACAAAAAAACUACUGACAUUAAGAAGAAGGACAUGCAACACAAAUCUAUGCGCCAAGUGGAAGAAACAACAACUGUUGAACAGUAUUCUUCCGAAUGUUUCGUCGAAAAAACACCAUCGAGUGAGGUUAUAGAAAUUGUCCACUUAAACGGGAAGAGAUCACCGUCGCCUGAGAAAAGACAGAGCCCUGAACGCAAGGUUGAGAGACAAGAGCGCUCCCCAACUCCUGAACUGAAAAGGCAGAUGUCUGACACAGCUAAAAAAGAAACUAUCAUUAAAACUGUGUAUGAUAUUGAGAAGAAGAUACCACAAAAACAGAUUCAGGAGGAGAAACCGUCGUGGGUGACCAAUAGGAACCUUAAAAAGAUAACUUCGGAGACUCGCACGUUCAGUAGCAAGAAAUUGGAGCCAGAGAAGCCAAAGUACCGCUCUGCGAGUCCAUCGAAAGCCAUCACGAAACCCAUUGACGUGAUUACCUCGAGUUAUGGCCCCGGUCCACUGGAUGCUGAUGGGAAGCCGCUAUUCGGCAUCAAAGCGCUGAGGAAUGGCAGCAGCAACUACCAAGUGAAAGGCACAGUGAUCCGCCAAGAGUUCCACUCGCGCAACGGCAGCGAGCCUGAGGGCACGGUGUCGGUAACAGCGUACUCCACGGAGCCCGAGGAGCUGGAGAAACUGCUGCAAUCGCAGGGGGCGCCGCCGUCUCGCAUCCACGGUCUUGCCGCCAUCACCACCACCAAGAAGUUCGGCGGCGACACCGGCACCACCAUACACCAGGCUCAUGGGAAAGAGGAACGCGCUGCCUUAGACCAGUUCACACACAGCGACCGCCGGGUAAUCGACACAGAGAGUGUGGGAGAGACCAGGAGCUAUGAGACCAAACGACAUGAGGAGACAAGACGGAUGGAUACACAGGAAAUCGAAGACCAGGACCAGGAGAGAAGUGCGGACAGGAUCAUCUACAAGCAGGAGAAGGUUGACAGGACAGGACAGCUGGAGGGACGCUCCGACGAGCGCAGGGAGAGAGUGGAUAAGAGAGAAGACAAGAAGACCGUCAGGCAGAGUUCGGUCAAAUCUCUUACCGAGAAAUACAUCAAGAGUGCAAGCGAGACGUCGAAGACUGACCGCAGCACGUACCCGAAGGCGGGCCUGAUCCUGCGCACGGCCACCAUGAAAGACAGCGUGUCUAGCGACUCCUCCGCGCACGCCGGUCUAACACGCACCGACAGCGACCACUCCCUGGGCUCUGUGGACGACACGGUGGUGACGACCACCACGGAGCGCGUGGGCGACGGCACGCGCACCACCACCACCACCACCACGCGCCACAGCGAGCGCUCCUUCCUGGACAGCAACGCGAAGGUCACUGGGGUGCAGGACAUACUAACUAGGAUGAAAAAUGCCGAUAUAGUGAUCCAAGAAGGCGAUACGUCCGAGGACACGGAGGCGCGCGCACUCCUCAACAAGUUCCUCGGCGCCAGCGUGCUGAUGGCCGGCAUGCAGGGCUACGUCACCGAGAAACCCACCGGCAAGAUCAUCGUCAAGCAGGAGACAGUCCGAAGCAGUGGUGGUGGCAAAGUGAUCAGCUCUCGGACCAUCGAGGACUUUGACGUUGACCAGUGCUGGGACGAGAGGGUCCUCAGGAAACUUCUUGACGAGUGCACCGACUACGAGCAGCGACGACGACUGCGCGCGCGCAUACGGACACUCAUGGCGGAACAGGAAGAGGAAGAGGAAGUCACUGUCACAUCGAGCGUGCGGAGGAACUCUUCCGAGAAGACCGUUAGCAGUAGCACCACCACUAAAACUUCUAAAGUUAUAGAAAGCAUGAGUCGGCCGGCGCCGAAGCCUGUGUCUCCGUUCGCAAAGUUCCGGCAGCUCGAAAAACAAAACUCAACUAACAGUCCCAAAAUGUAAAGCUGGAGAACUUCUCGACGAGCUGGGCGGACGGGCUGGCGUUCUGUGCGCUGGUGCACCACUUCCUGCCAGACGCGUUCGACUACUCGCAGCUCUCGCCUGAAAAACGCCGACACAAUUUCACGCUCGCCUUCAAAGUUGCCGAUGAGAAGGCGGGCAUCUACCCCCUGCUGGACGUGGACGACAUGGUGGCGAUGCGCAAGCCUGACUGGAAGUGCGUGUUCACGUACGUGCAGUCGAUCCACCGCCGGUUCAAGGACCACGACUGAUCACCACCUCGCCACCUCCUCGCCCACGGGACUCGCCACACACUUAUCACUGUUCACUUAGGUCUAUUAUACCUUGAAAUUAUUUAAAUGGCAAGACUUUAAUAGACCGAUUUUAUGCUGGCAACAUUUACCCCAUUACUUAUAAACGUUUUACUAAUUCUUCUUUUAUCUCUUUCACUCAUAUAAUUUUACAUAGGGAUGAAAGAGACAAAACAUUGAUUAGUGUCCCCUUUAAAAAUGUUAAUUAUUAAGUUCCCCAGUGUGUGCCGCGUCCACGGCGCGAGCUAAGCGUAGUCGAACGUUUAGAGUCACAAACCAUUCGAGUAUACUAAAGUCCCAAAGAGAGUUAUUUAGCCUCGGUCGUAUAGCCGCGCCGGGCGGUAACAGUGACGGAACCGUGUCAGCACAAAUUGUACACAUAUUUUAUUAGAACGUGAAUACACGUCCAGCACCGUAGCUUGGAGCGACACGGUCGCAUCACUGACCGACGCGACUGUACGUCCGAAGCGUUUGUUGAUUUGUUUGUAUAUUAUAUUAUUGUCAGUGUCCGCCCAACACGUUUCUCCACGCGCUGUCUCGAUUCUUCCUAUUUAUUGUAAUCUCAAGAUGUGAUUUUUCUAUAUUAGUUGUAAGUACUAACACGAGUAGGUCAUGGUGUUGUGCCAAGAUCGCUUUUGCUUAUUCGUACACAUAAGUAAGUGGAGUCUUCGCACGGGUUUCGACCCCGCGGUCGUCUGACCACAAGUCCGAGCACCAGUUUUUCUUCACCUUAACAUGUUACACGUUGACAUUUAACAGCGGCUCAUGUAUAAGCCAUUAUUGAUUUUAUAAAAUGAUAUUAUUGUAAUGAAAUUAUAAUUUAUAUUUAAAUGAUGAAAUAAAAUAUUAAU
rnacentral:misc_RNA from 1 species